rnacentral:rRNA from 1 species
GAAGUUCUCGAACAAACCUUUGACCGAUCUGCGACGCUAUAGCUUUGGGUACUUUCAGGACCCGUCUUGAAACACGGACCAAGGAGUCUAGCAUGUGCGCGAGUCAUUGGGAAUCACUAAACCUAAAGGCGUAAUGAAAGUAAAGGUCCGCCUCGCGCGGACUUAGGGAGGACGGGCGGUUUACCCUUAAAAGUGGCCGCUCAGCACUCCCGGGGCGUCUCGUUCUCAUCGCGAGAAGAGGCGCACCAAGAGCGUACACGCUGGGACCCGAAAGAUGGUGAACUAUGCCUGGUCAGGACGAAGUCAGGGGAAACCCUGAUGGAGGUCCGUAGCGAUUCUGACGUGCAAUCGAUCGUCGGAACUGGGUAUAGGGGCGAAAGACUAAUCGAACCAUCUAGUAGCUGGUUCCCUCCGAAGUUUCCCUCAGGAUAGCUGGCGCUCGUCGCGCACGAGUCUCAUCCGGUAAAGCGAAUGAUUAGAGGCAUUGGGGUCGAAACGACCUCAACCUAUUCUCAAACUUUAAAUGGGUGAGAUCUCCGGCUUGCUCGAAUUCAUGAAGCCGCGAGACACGGAUCAGAGUGCCAAGUGG